rnacentral:rRNA from 1 species
GCAAGGGGGGCGCGGCCGAAGGUGGGUUCGAUAAUUGGGGUGAAGUCGUAACAAGGUAGCCGUAUCGGAAGGUGCGGCUGGAUCACCUCCUUUCUAAGGAGA